AGCGAACGCUGGCGGCAGGCCUAACACAUGCAAGUCGAACGAACCUUUCGGGGUUAGUGGCGGGCGGGUGAGUAACACGUGGGAACGUGCCUUUAGGUUCGGAAUAACUCAGGGAAACUUGUGCUAAUACCGAAUGUGCCCAUCGGGGGAAAGAUUUAUCGCCUUUAGAGCGGCCCGCGUCUGAUUAGCUAGUUGGUUGAGGUAAUGGCUCACCAGGGCGACGAUCAGUAGCUGGUCUGAGAGGAUGAUCAGCCACAUUGGGACUGAGACACGGCCCAAGCUCCUACGGGAGGCAGCAGUGGGGAAUCUUGCGCAAUGGGCGAAAGCCUGACGCAGCCAUGCCGGGUGAAUGAUGCAGGUCUUAGGAUUGUAAAAUUCUUUCUCCGGGGACGAUAAUGACGGUACCCGGAGAAGAAGCCCCGGCUAACUACGUG
rnacentral:rRNA from 1 species